GACGAACGCUGGCGGCGUGCUUAACACAUGCAAGUCGAACGGAAAGGCCCUGCUUGCAGGGUACUCGAGUGGCGAACGGGUGAGUAACACGUGGGUGAUCUGCCCUGCACUUCGGGAUAAGCCUGGGAAACUGGGUCUAAUACCGGAUAGGAGCCAUUUUUAGUGUGAUGGUUGGAAAGUUUUUUCGGUGUAGGAUGAGCUCGCGGCCUAUCAGCUUGUUGGUGGGGUAAUGGCCUACCAAGGCGGCGACGGGUAGCCGGCCUGAGAGGGUGGACGGCCACAUUGGGACUGAGAUACGGCCCAGACUCCUACGGGAGGCAGCAGUGGGGAAUAUUGCACAAUGGGCGCAAGCCGGAUGCAGCGACGCCGCGUGGGGGAUGACGGACUUCGGGUUGUAAACUCCUUUCGCUAGGGACGAAGCUUUUUGUGACGGUACCUAGAUAAGAAGCACCGGCUAACUACGUG
rnacentral:rRNA from 1 species